GACGAACGCUGGCGGCGUGCUUAACACAUGCAAGUCGAACGAUGAAGUUCCUUCGGGAAUGGAUUAGUGGCGAACGGGUGAGGAACACGUGAGAAACCUGCCUUUCAUUUUGGGAUAACUCCGGGAAACCGGGGCUAAAACCGAAUACUCCGUCUCGGCGGCAUCGCUGAGCCGGGAAAAAAUAUUGAUGAAAGAUGGUCUCGCGGCCUAUCAGCUAGUUGGUGAGGUAAUGGCUCACCAAGGCAACGACGGGUAGCCGGCCUGAGAGGGCGACGGGCCACACUGGGACUGAGAGACGGCCCAGACUCCGACGGGAGGCAGCAGUGGGGAAUAUUGGGCAAUGGGCGCAAGCCUGACCCAGCGACGCCGCGUGAGGGAUGAAGGCCUUCGGGUUGUAAACCUCUUUCAGUAGGGAAGAAGCGAAAGUGACGGUACCUAAAGAAGAAGCACCGGCUAACUAUGUGCCAGCCGCCGCCGUAA
rnacentral:rRNA from 1 species